CAAGUCAAGGUCAAGCUCAAAGCUUUGUGCUAGGGAAGCAUCAGCAAGGAGCCAUGUCUAGUCCCUCAGUCAAUCAAAUCAUUGCAGAAUUUUCCCAUUGCGAUUGAUGGAAAGUCAGAUGAUAACAGGAAGUGACUGAAUUAUCCAUUCACUAUGCAGAAAGCAGUUAACCACAAUUGAAAACAGAAAAGAUAGACGCCUGAGGGGUAAAAUUUACCAGUGUUCCCUGCCACCCUUCUCCCCACAACCCUUAGUAGUUCUGCA